CCUACGGGUGGCAGCAGUGAGGAAUAUUGGUCAAUGGGCGGAAGCCUGAACCAGCCAAGUAGCGUGCAGGAUGACGGCCCUACGGGUUGUACACUGCUUUUAUACGGGAAUAACGCGCCUUACGUGUAGGGCUUUGCAUGUACCGUAUGAAUAAGGGCCGGAUAAUUCCGUUCCAGCAGCCGCAGUAAUACGGACGGUACGGGCGUUAUGCGGAUUUAUUGGGUGUAAUGGGAGCGUAGGCGGCAUGUCAAGCGUGCUGUGAAAUGUCCGGGCUCAACCCGGGCCUUGCAGCGCGAACUGGCGUGCUUGAGUCCGCGGAAAGCAGGCGGAAUUCGUCGUGUAGCGGUGAAAUGCUUAGAUAUGACGAAGAACCCCGAUUGCGAAGGCAGCUUGCUGCAGCGGAACUGACGCUGAUGCUCGAAAGCGCGGGUAUCGAACAGGAUUAGAUACCCUUGUAGUC
rnacentral:rRNA from 1 species